rnacentral:lncRNA from 1 species
AACUAUAAAAAUCAUAUUUUUCUCGAUUUAAUAUCGAGCCCAUUUUCCACACCUUUGUAAGUCGAUUGCUUUUUAAGCAUCGCCAUCAACCUCACAUAGCUUACUCUUGGGCUUUCUUACAAUGAGCCGGUUCUCUUGCACUUACACUCAUAUUUCGCAUCAUUUGUUGUUUGGGCCCGAUCUAAUUAUUUCAUGAUUUUGAAUCCCCAUUUGACA